rnacentral:rRNA from 1 species
AACGAACGCUGGCGGCGUGCUUAACACAUGCAAGUCGAACGCGAAAGGGACUUCGGUCCUGAGUAAAGUGGCGCACGGGUGAGUAACGCGUGGAUAAUCUGCCCAAUGGACCGGGAUAACAUCUCGAAAGGGGUGCUAAUACCGGAUAAGACCACGGAGUCUUCGGACUCUGCGGUAAAAGGUGGGGACCUUCGGGCCUACCGGCAUUGGAUGAGUCCGCGUACCAUUAGCUAGUUGGUGGGGUAAAGGCCCACCAAGGCGACGAUGGUUAGCUGGUCUGAGAGGGUGAUCAGCCACACUGGAACUGGGACACGGUCCAGACUCCUACGGGAGGCAGCAGUAGGGAAUUUUGCGCAAUGGGGGAAACCCUGACGCAGCAACGCCGCGUGAGUGAUGAAGGCCUUCGGGUCGUAAAGCUCUGACAGAGGGGAAGAAACGUAGCGGUGCUAAUAUCGCCGUUACUUGACGGUACCCUCAAAGGAAGCACCGGCUAACUCCGUGCCAGCCGCCGCGGUAAUAC